rnacentral:rRNA from 1 species
AGAGUUUGAUCAUGGCUCAGGACGAACGCUGGCGGCGUGCUUAAUACAUGCAAGUCGAGCGAGGUCCAUCCAGGGGUAACCCUGGAGAAGACCGAGCGGCGAACGGGUGAGGAACACGUGAGCAACCUGCCCCGAAGACCGGGAUAACACCGGGAAACCGGUGCUAAUACCGGAUGCCCUCCAGAGAUCGCAUGGUCAUUGGAGGAAAUGGAUUCCGCUUCGGGAGGGGCUCGCGGCCUAUCAGCUUGUUGGUGGGGUAACGGCCCACCAAGGCUACGACGGGUAGCUGGUCUGAGAGGACGAUCAGCCACACUGGGACUGAGACACGGCCCAGACUCCUACGGGAGGCAGCAGUAGGGAAUAUUGCGCAAUGGGCGAAAGCCUGACGCAGCAACGCCGCGUGGGGGAUGAAUGCCUUCGGGUUGUAAACCCCUUUCAGCAGGGACGAAAUUGACGGUACCUGCAGAAGAAGCCCCGGCCAACUACGUGCCAGCAGCCGCGGUAAUACGUAGGGGGCGAGCGUUGUCCGGAUUUAUUGGGCGUAAAGAGCUCGUAGGCGGCUCAGCAA